GGACGCAAGUCUGAUGGAGCAACGCCGCGUGAGUGAAGAAGGGUUUCGGCUCGUAAAGCUCUGUUGGUAGUGAAGAAAGAUAGAGGUAGUAACUGGCCUUUAUUUGACGGUAAUUACUUAGAAAGUCACGGCUAACUACGUGCCAGCAGCCGCGGUAAUACGUAGGUGGCAAGCGUUGUCCGGAUUUAUUGGGCGUAAAGCGAGUGCAGGCGGUUCAAUAAGUCUGAUGUGAAAGCCUUCGGCUCAACCGGAGAAUUGCAUCAGAAACUGUUGAACUUGAGUGCAGAAGAGGAGAGUGGAACUCCAUGUGUAGCGGUGGAGUGCGUAGAUAUAUGGAAGAACACCAGUGGCGAAGGCGGCUCUCUGGUCUGCAACUGACGCUGAGGCUCGAAAGCAUGGGUAGCGAACAGGAUUAGAUACCCUGGUAGUCCAUGCCGUAAACGAUGAGUGCUAAGUGUUGGGAGGUUUCCGCCUCUCAGUGCUGCAGCUAACGCAUUAAGCACUCCGCCUGGGGAGUACGACCGCAAGGUUGAAACUCAAAGGAAUUGACGGGGGCCCGCACAAGCGGUGGAGCAUGUGGUUUAAUUCGAAGCAACGCGAAGAACCUUACCAGGUCUUGACAUCCAGUGCAAACCUAAGAGAUUAGGUGUUCCCUUCGGGGACGCUGAGACAGGUGGUGCAUGGCUGUCGUCAGCUCGUGUCGUGAGAUGUUGGGUUAAGUCCGCAACGAG
rnacentral:rRNA from 1 species